GAUGAACGCUAGCGGCAGGCUUAAUACAUGCAAGUCGUGGGGCAGCAGGUUUGUAGCAAUACAGAUGCUGGCGACCGGCAAGCGGGUGCGGAACACGUACAGAACCUUCCUUUGAGCGGGGAAUAGCCCAGAGAAAUUUGGAUUAAUACCCCAUAGUAUAAUGAAGUGGCAUCACUUUAUUAUUAAAGAUUUAUCACUCGAAGAUGGCUGUGCGGCUGAUUAGGUAGUUGGCGGGGUAAAGGCCCACCAAGCCUGCGAUCAGUAACUGGUGUGAGAGCACGACCAGUCACACGGGCACUGAGACACGGGCCCGACUCCUACGGGAGGCAGCAGUAAGGAAUAUUGGUCAAUGGAGGCAACUCUGAACCAGCCAUGCCGCGUGGAGGAUGAAGGUCCUCUGGAUUGUAAACUUCUUUAUAUGGGACGAAAAAAGGGCUUUUCUAAGUCGUCUGACGGUACCAUAUGAAUAAGCACCGGCUAACUCCGUGCCAGCAGCCG
rnacentral:rRNA from 1 species